rnacentral:misc_RNA from 1 species
AUUUCCCUAUCUACCUUGUUUUCUCCUACAACCUCCACCGUGCAAGCAGAAGCCACCUCCUUAUCACCAUAAGCACGAAAUGCACCUCCCACUCUCACCUUCUCAGUCACAUCAACUAAAACCUUCUCCUUCCCUGCAUUCUGUUUUUGUCCUGAUUGCUCCGCAUUCCAGCUAUUUUUCUUCCCCCUAUACCCAACUCUA